AACGAACGCUGGCGGCAUGCCUAACACAUGCAAGUCGAACGAGACCUUCGGGUCUAGUGGCGCACGGGUGCGUAACGCGUGGGAACCUGCCCUUAGGCUCGGAAUAACUCCCCGAAAGGGGUGCUAAUACCGGAUAAUGUCUUCGGACCAAAGAUUUAUCGCCUUUGGAUGGGCCCGCGUUGGAUUAGCUAGUUGGUAGGGUAAAAGCCUACCAAGGCGACGAUCCAUAGCUGGUCUGAGAGGAUGAUCAGCCACACUGGGACUGAGACACGGCCCAGACUCCUACGGGAGGCAGCAGUGGGGAAUAUUGGACAAUGGGCGGAAGCCUGAUCCAGCUAUGCCGCGUGAGUGAUGAAGGCCUUAGGGUUGUAAAGCUCUUUUACCCGGGAUGAUAAUGACAGUACCGGGAGAAUAAGCUCCGGCUAACUCCGUG
rnacentral:rRNA from 1 species